rnacentral:lncRNA from 1 species
UUGUCCCUGCUCGGGUUUUUGCCAUAGUCAUAGGUUUUUUAGUGAGACUUACUUCCUUAUGCUAGUUCCUACCUUAUUAAGAAUAACGUUGUUCCCAUAAUCAGUGUCAACGAGUUGACUUCCUCAACUUCUACAUAAUGCCGAAUCUACCUUGAGUGUGUUUACACACUCAAGGGGGAGUGUUGUAAACUUUCCUAGCUUAAGUGUGAUUGUGUAAAUCCUAGAUUAGAUUUUAUUCUAGUUAUUCUUUCCUAUAUGGACUUGUAUUCCUUAGGGAUGAAAGAUUUCUUCUCCUUCUUAUUAUUAUAAAUAAAGGCACUAUGUAAGGGAAAUAACACACACA